AUCGCUUCUCAGCCUUUUGGCUAAGAUCAAGUGUAGUAAAAUCUGUUCUUACCACUUUAAUUAGUAUGUGUCCAGCUUUGUUUAUCUUUGAUAACAUAUAUACUCUGUUGGCAAGGCUGUGAAAAACAUAGGUACUGUCAUUCAUAUAUUGCUGGUGUGAAUGCAAAAUGGUACAACUCUA
ensembl:snRNA U2 U2 spliceosomal RNA